rnacentral:rRNA from 1 species
GACGAACGCUGGCGGCGUGCUUAACACAUGCAAGUCGAACGGAAAGGCCCUGCUUUUGUGGGGUGCUCGAGUGGCGAACGGGUGAGUAACACGUGAGUAACCUGCCCUUGACUUUGGGAUAACUUCAGGAAACUGGGGCUAAUACCGGAUAGGAGCUCCUGCUGCAUGGUGGGGGUUGGAAAGUUUCGACGGUUGGGGAUGGACUCGCGGCUUAUCAGCUUGUUGGUGGGGUAGUGGCUUACCAAGGCUUUGACGGGUAGCCGGCCUGAGAGGGUGACCGGCCACAUUGGGACUGAGAUACGGCCCAGACUCCUACGGGAGGCAGCAGUGGGGAAUAUUGCACAAUGGGCGGAAGCCUGAUGCAGCAACGCCGCGUGCGGGAUGACGGCCUUCGGGUUGUAAACCGCUUUCACCUGUGACGAAGCGUGAGUGACGGUAAUGGGUAAAGAAGCACCGGCUAACUACGUG